rnacentral:rRNA from 1 species
UGGGGAAUCUUGCGCAAUGGGCGAAAGCCUGACGCAGCGACGCCGCGUGGGUGAUGAAGGCCUUCGGGUUGUAAAGCUCUGUGGGGAGAGACGAAUAAGUGCAAGCUAAUACCUUGCAUGAUGACGGUAUCUCCUUAGCAAGCACCGGCUAACUCUGUGCCAGCAGCCGCGGUAAGACAGAGGGUGCAAACGUUGUUCGGAAUUACUGGGCGUAAAGCGAGUGUAGGCGGUUUCCUAAGUCAGGUGUGAAAGCCCCGGGCUCAACCCGGGAAGUGCACUUGAAACUGGGAGGCUAGAGUACUGGAGAGGUUGGUGGAAUUCUCGGUGUAGAGGUGAAAUUCGUAGAUAUCGAGAGGAACACCGGUGGCGAAGGCGGCCAACUGGACAGAUACUGACGCUGAGACUCGAAAGCGUGGGGAGCAAACA